rnacentral:tmRNA from 1 species
GGGGGCGAAAAGGCUUCGACGGAGAUUACGAGGCUUUUGGUUGCAUACCGAGCUUUCUGCUAACUCGUAAAACUGGCGGAAAAAAAAGUAAUCGCAGACGAUUAUAAUUACGCUGUAGCAGCUUAAGGCCGCUACCGUCCUGCCGGGAUUCUUCCUGCAGAUUCUGGUAAAGGGCGUCGACUAUGUGGGAAAGCUUGAAAAGGGUGCCUGACCCUUUUUCGGUUAAAUUUUUCAGGCUAUACUGGUCAGUAUCCAUCCCGGAGGAGACAUUCCAGUAAAAUUUAAAAUUCGGGAUAAGUAUGUAGAGACCAUUGCUAACUGUUUUCGGACGCGGGUUCAAUUCCCGCCGCCUCCACCA